GAUGAAGAACGUAGUGAAAUGCGAUAAGUAAUGUGAAUUGCAGAAUUCAGUGAAUCAUCGAAUCUUUGAACGCACAUUGCGCCCCCUGGUAUUCCGGGGGGCAUGUCUGUCCGAGCGUCAUUACAACCCUCAAGCUCAGCUUGGUGUUGGGCCCCGCCGCCCCGGCGGGCCCUAAAGUCAGUGGCGGUGCCGUCCGGCUCCGAGCGUAGUAAUUCUUCUCGCUCUGGAGGUCCGGUCGUGUGCUCGCCAGCAACCCCCAAUUUUUUUCAGGUUGACCUCGGAUCAGGUAGGGAUACCCGCUGAACUUAAGCAUAUCAAUAAGCGGAGGA
rnacentral:misc_RNA from 1 species